AUUGAACGCUGGCGGCAUGCCUUACACAUGCGAGUCGAACGGUAACAGGUCUUCGGAUGCUGACGAGUGGCGAACGGGUGAGUAAUACAUCGGAACGUGCCUAGUAGUGGGGGAUAACUACUCGAAAGAGUGGCUAAUACCGCAUGAGAUCUACGGAUGAAAGCAGGGGAUCGCAAGACCUUGUGCUACUAGAGCGGCCGAUGGCAGGUUAGGUAGUUGGUGGGAUAAAAGCCUACCACGCCGACGAUCUGUAGCUGGUCUGAGAGUACGAUUAGCCACACUGGGACGGAGACACGGACCAGACUCCUACGGGAGGCAGCAGUGGGGAAUUUUGGACAAUGGGCGAAAGCCUGAUCCAGCAAUGCCGCGUGCAGGAUGAAGGCCUUCGGGUUGUAAACUGCUUUUGUACGGAACGAAAAGCCCUGGGUUAAUACCCUGGGGUCAUGACGGUACCGUAAGAAUAAGCACCGGCUAACUACGUGCCAGCAGCCGCCGCUG
rnacentral:rRNA from 1 species